UACGUAGGGGGCAAGCGUUGUCCGGAAUCAUUGGGCGUAAAGCGCGUGUAGGCGGCCAGGUAAGUCCGUUCUGAAAGCCCGGGGCUCAACCCCGGGAGGCGGAUGGAUACUGCUUGGCUCGAGUCCGGAAGAGGCGAGUGGAAUUCCACGUGUAGCAGUGAAAUGCGUAGAGAUGUGGAGGAACACCGAUGGCGAAGGCAGCCCCCUGGGUCAACACUGACGCUCAUGCACGAAAGCGUGGGGAGCAAACAGG
rnacentral:rRNA from 1 species